AGUGAACGCUGGCGGCGUGCCUAAUACAUGCAAGUAGAACGGAGUGGCGCGCAGGUGAGUAAUGUCUAGCUAAUCUGCCCUACACUAGAGGCAAUCAGUUGUAAACGGCGGCAAAUACUCUAUAGUGUAGGAUGAGGCUAUAUUGUAUCAGCUAGUUGGUGAGGUAAUGGCUCCCCAAGGCGCUGACGCAGAACUGGUCUGAGAGGAUGAUCAGUCACACUGGAACUGAGACACGGUCCAGACUCCUACGGGAGGCAGCAGUAGGGAAUAUUGCUCAAUGGGGGAAACACUGAGGCAGCAACGCCGCGUGGAGGAUGACACGUUUCGGAGCGUAAACUCCUUUUGUUAGGGAAGCGGUACCUAACGAAUAAGCAUCGGCUAACUCCGUGCCAGCCGCCGCGGUAAUUC
rnacentral:rRNA from 1 species